UUGUGGAGGAGGACGCCGAAGGUGGGGCUAAUGACUGGGGUGAAGUCGUAACAAGGUAGCCGUACCGGAAGGUGCGGCUGGAUCACCUCCUAACAGGGAGACAACAAAAUGUUUAAUAUUAUUAUUUUGUCACCUUAGGUCGAUCGGUAUCUCACAUUCUUAACUUAUUAAGAAUUUCAUUUCCUAAGUUUUUCUAGGUCACACCCAUUAUUUUUCCUGGGCCAUUAGCUCAGGUGGUUAGAGCGCACCCCUGAUAAGGGUGAGGUCCCUGGUUCAAGUCCAGGAUGGCCCAUAUCUCUAUGUUGGGGGUAUAGCUCAGUUGGUAGAGCGCCUGCUUUGCAAGCAGGAUGUCAGCGGUUCGAGUCCGCUUACCUCCACUGAUUACCACCUCUUCCAUAACCGGUAGAAAGGAAAUGUUUUGCGUUGUGAUCAUUAUUCUGAACGAAUCUAGCUUCCUAAUGAAAUCAUUAAGAUGCUGGACUCAUUGAAUUAAUUUCAUUGUUUUCAGAGAACCUUGACAACUGCAUAGAUUAUUUUUAAAGACAAUAAGCAUCUUUAAUGAUGCAGAUUUAUUAUUUGUGCGAAUGCAUUAAUAACAAUUCUAUUAAGCUGAUGCUUCAAUUUUGAAGUUAUUGGUCAAGCUACAA
rnacentral:misc_RNA from 1 species